rnacentral:rRNA from 1 species
UCUCAGAGAUUAAGCCAUGCAUGUCUAAGUACAAACCUUAAAACGGUGAAACCGCGAAUGGCUCAUUAAAUCAGCUAUGGUUCCUUGGAUCGUAAAUACUACAUGGAUAACUGUAGUAAUUCUAGAGCUAAUACAUGCCACUAUGCCCUAUUUUGGGUGGAUUUAUUAGUACAGAACCAACCGGAUGCAGUUCUGCUGUGUCUGUUACGCUCUGUGAUGACUCUGGAUAACUUUACUGAUCGCAGUCGGCCUUGUGUCGGCGACGGAUCUUUCAAAUGUCUGCCCUAUCAAUUGUCGAUGGUAGGUGACCUGCCUACCAUGGUGAUAACGGGUAACGGGGAAUCAGGGUUCGAUUCCGGAGAGGGAGCCUGAGAAACGGCUACCACUUCUAAGGAAGGCAGCAGGCACGCAAAUUACCCAAUCCCGGCACGGGGAGGUAGUGACGAAAAAUACGGAAACGGGACUCAUUAGAGGCUCCGUUAUUCGAAUGAGUACAAUUUAAAUCCUUUAACGAGGAUCAACUGGAGGGCAAGUCUGGUGCCAGCAGCCG